rnacentral:rRNA from 1 species
CAGGCCUUGACAUCCAAUGAACUUUCCAGAGAUGGAUUGGUGCCUUCGGGAACAUUGAGACAGGUGCUGCAUGGCUGUCGUCAGCUCGUGUCGUGAGAUGUUGGGUUAAGUCCCGUAACGAGCGCAACCCUUGUCCUUAGUUACCAGCACGUUAUGGUGGGCACUCUAAGGAGACUGCCGGUGACAAACCGGAGGAAGGUGGGGAUGGCGUCAAGUCAUCAUGGCCCUUACGGCCUGGGCUACACACGUGCUACAAUGGUCGGUACAGAGGGUUGCCAA